rnacentral:lncRNA from 1 species
ACACAUACACAGUUCCACUUAAAUGUUAGUCUGCUUUGAAUUAAUGGUGACUUGAUAGUGGCAGCAGUGAGGCUACUAAUGUGAACAGCAGCACCAACAGUAGUAGUAGUAGUAGUAGCAGCAGCAGCAGCAAUAGUGUGGUAGUAGAAGUAGUAGUGCUACUAAUCACCACUACUACUACUACUGCUACAAGCGGUAUUAGUAGUGGUAGGUAAUGAAAUUACCUGCUGAAGUAAUAAUAUUGGUGUACAAAGACACCCAACACACUAGUGGUUUACAGUGUAUCGUCACUUAGCAGCGUUAAUGUCAAACCAUCAAUGUCAACCAUCAUUUCACAUGUUUAAAACGGAGGAACGAUGGACUGUGGGGAAGUUGUAUCCCUCAAGAAAAGUUUUGUUCUGUGAUGCGAUGUCAACCCGAAAUUUGAAGUGGUCGUAGUCCUUUGGUGGCGGAGGUACCUUGUGGCUUUUUACAUAUACA